rnacentral:rRNA from 1 species
GACGAACGCUGGCGGCGUGCUUAACACAUGCAAGUCGAGCGGAGCGGCGAACGGGUGGGUAACGCGUGAGUAACUGCCCCCCUCUCUGGGAUAACAGUUGGAAACGGCAGCUAAUACCGGAUAGUGGGGGAUGAAUCGAGUCCUAUCAGCUUGGUGGUGGGGUAGUGGCCUACCAAGGCGACGACGGGUAGCCCGCCUGAGAGGGCGACCGGCCACAUAGGUCUGAGGGACGGCCCAAGCUCCUACGGGAGGCAGCAGGGGGGAAUAUUGCACAAUGGGGGAAACCAUGAGGCAGCAGCGCGCGUGCGGGAAGGCGGCUUUCGGGUUGUGAACCGCUUUCAGCCAUGACGCGGUAGUGGCAGAAGAAGCACCGGCUAACUACGUGCCAGCAGCCGCGGUAAUUC